GACGAACGCUGGCGGCGUGCUUAACACAUGCAAGUCGAACGGAAAGGCCCUGCUUUUGUGGGGUGCUCGAGUGGCGAACGGGUGAGUAACACGUGAGUAACCUGCCCUUGACUUUGGGAUAACUUCAGGAAACUGGGGCUAAUACCGGAUAGGAGCUCCUGCUGCAUGGUGGGGGUUGGAAAGUUUCGGCGGUUGGGGAUGGACUCGCGGCUUAUCAGCUUGUUGGUGGGGUAGUGGCUUACCAAGGCUUUGACGGGUAGCCGGCCUGAGAGGGUGACCGGCCACAUUGGGACUGAGAUACGGCCCAGACUCCUACGGGAGGCAGCAGUGGGGAACAUUGCACAAUGGGCGGAAGCCUGAUGCAGCAACGCCGCGUGCGGGAUGACGGCCUUCGGGUUGUAAACCGCUUUCGCCUGUGACGAAGCGUGAGUGACGGUAAUGGGUAAAGAAGCACCGGCUAACUACGUGCCAGCAGCCGCGGUGAUACGUAGGGUGCGAGCGUUGUCCGGAUUUAUUGGGCGUAAAGGGCUCGUAGGUGGUUGAUCGCGUCGGAAGUGUAAUCUUGGGGCUUAACCCUGAGCGUGCUUUCGAUACGGGUUGACUUGAGGAAGGUAGGGGAGAAUGGAAUUCCUGGUGGAGCGGUGGAAUGCGCAGAUAUCAGGAGGAACACCAGUGGCGAAGGCGGUUCUCUGGGCCUUUCCUGACGCUGAGGAGCGAAAGCGUGGGGAGCGAACAGGCUUAGAUACCCUGGUAGUCCACGCUGUAAACGGUGGGUACUAGGUGUGGGGUCCAUUCCACGGGUUCCGUGCCGUAGCUAACGCUUUAAGUACCCCGCCUGGGGAGUACGGCCGCAAGGCUAAAACUCAAAGGAAUUGACGGGGCCCCGCACAAGCGGCGGAGCAUGCGGAUUAAUUCGAUGCAACGCGUAGAACCUUACCUGGGUUUGACAUGGAUCGGGAGCGCUCAGAGAUGGGUGUGCCUCUUUUGGGGUCGGUUCACAGGUGGUGCAUGGCUGUCGUCAGCUCGUGUCGUGAGAUGUUGGGUUAAGUCCCGCAACGAGCGCAACCCUUGUUCACUGUUGCCAGCACGUUAUGGUGGGGACUCAGUGGAGACCGCCGGGGUCAACUCGGAGGAAGGUGGGGAUGACGUCAAGUCAUCAUGCCCCUUAUGUCCAGGGCUUCACGCAUGCUACAAUGGCUGGUACAGAGAGUGGCGAGCCUGUGAGGGUGAGCGAAUCUCGGAAAGCCGGUCUCAGUUCGGAUUGGGGUCUGCAACUCGACCUCAUGAAGUCGGAGUCGCUAGUAAUCGCAGAUCAGCAACGCUGCGGUGAAUACGUUCCCGGG
rnacentral:rRNA from 1 species